UCCCACCACCAGCGCCUGCG
rnacentral:misc_RNA from 1 species